rnacentral:rRNA from 1 species
GCGGUUAAAAAGCUCGUAGUUGGAUUUCUGUUGAGGACGGCCGGUCCGCACUAUGUGCGUGUAUCUGGUUCGGCCUCGGCAUCCUCUUGAGGAACGUUUCUGCGCUUGAUUGCGUGGAGCGGUAUUCAAGACUUUUACUUUGAGGAAAUUAGAGUGUUCACGGCAGGCAAGCGCCUUGAAUAUUCGUGCAUGGAAUAAUGGAAUAGGAACUCGUUUCUAUUUUGUUGGUUUUCGGAAAUCGAGUUAAUGAUUAACAGGGACAAUUGGGGGCAUUAGUAUUCAGACGACAGAGGUGAAAUUCUUGGACCGUCUGAAGACUGACUACUGCGAAAGCAUUUGCCAAGAGUGUUUUCAUUAAUCAAGAACGAAAGUUAGAGGUUCGAAGGCGAUCAGAUACCGCCCUAGUUCUAACCAUAAACGAUGCCAGCUAGCGAUCUGCCGAGUUUUUUUUGUAAGGCUCCGCAGGAAGCUUUCGGGAAACCAAAGCUUUUGGG